UACGGAGGGUGCAAGCGUUAUCCGGAUUCACUGGGUUUAAAGGGUGCGUAGGCGGAUAGGUAAGUCAGUGGUGAAAUCUCCGGGCUUAACCCGGAAACUGCCAUUGAUACUAUUUGUCUUGAAUGUCGUGGAGGUGAGCGGAAUAUGUCAUGUAGCGGUGAAAUGCUUAGAUAUGACAUAGAACACCCAUUGCGAAGGCAGCUCACUACACGAUGAUUGACGCUGAGGCACGAAAGCGUGGGGAGCAAACAGG
rnacentral:rRNA from 1 species